GCACUCAUCGUUCAACGGAUAGGACGCGAGCUUGCGGAGCUUGAAAUCCAGGUUCGAUUCCUGGUGGGUGCACCA
rnacentral:tRNA from 1 species